GGGCACAUGGUGUAGUUGGUUUAUCACGCUCGCUUAGCAACUGCAUUUGCGAGAGGUGUCCGGUUCAAUUCCGGAUGUGUCCA